GUCCACGCUGUAAACGGUGGGUACUAGGUGUGGGGUCCAUUCCACGGGUUCCGUGCCGUAGCUAACGCUUUAAGUACCCCGCCUGGGGAGUACGGCCGCAAGGCUAAAACUCAAAGGAAUUGACGGGGCCCCGCACAAGCGGCGGAGCAUGCGGAUUAAUUCGAUGCAACGCGUAGAACCUUACCUGGGUUUGACAUGGAUCGGGAGUGCUCAGAGAUGGGUGUGCCUCUUUUGGGGUCGGUUCACAGGUGGUGCAUGGCU
rnacentral:rRNA from 1 species